GAUGAACGCUGGCGGCACGCCUAACACAUGCAAGUCGAACGGCAGCGGGGUUUGUAGCAAUACAAACUGCCGGCGAGUGGCGGACGGGUGAGUAACGCGUAGGAAUCUGCCUGGAAGAUGAGGAUAACUUGGGGAAACUCAAGCUAAUACUGAAUAAGCCCUAAGGGGGAAAGGUUGCGCAAGCAAUCGCUUUCAGAUGAGCCUGCGUUGGAUUAGCUAGUUGGUGGGGUAAAGGCCUACCAAGGCGAUGAUCCAUAGCUGUUCUGAGAGGAAGGACAGCCACACUGGGACUGAGACACGGCCCAGACUCCUACGGGAGGCAGCAGUGGGGAAUCUUGGACAAUGGGGGCAACCCUGAUCCAGCGAUGCCGCGUGUGUGAAGAAGGCCUUCGGGUUGUAAAGCACUUUAGUGGGGGAGGAGUAGGAUCUGUUGAAUAGGCAGGUCUGAGGACGUUACCCCAAGAAUAAGCACCGGCUAACUCUGUGCCAGCAGCCGCAGUAA
rnacentral:rRNA from 1 species